rnacentral:tRNA from 1 species
ACCUGGGUGGCUCAGUCGGUUGAGCGUCCGACUUCAGCUCAGGUCAUGAUCUCACAGUUUGUGGGUUCAAGCCCCGCAUCAGGCU